GAUGAACGCUGGCGGCGUGCCUAAUACAUGCAAGUCGAGCGAAUGGAUUAAGAGCUUGCUCUUAUGAAGUUAGCGGCGGACGGGUGAGUAACACGUGGGUAACCUGCCCAUAAGACUGGGAUAACUCCGGGAAACCGGGGCUAAUACCGGAUAACAUUUUGAACCGCAUGGCUCGAAAUUGAAAGGCGGCUUCGGCUGUCACUUAUGGAUGGACCCGCGUCGCAUUAGCUAGUUGGUGAGGUAACGGCUCACCAAGGCAACGAUGAGUAGCCGACCUGAGAGGGUGAUCGGCCACACUGGGACUGAGACACGGCCCAGACUCCUACGGGAGGCAGCAGUAGGGAAUCUUCCGCAAUGGACGAGAGUCUGACGGAGCAACGCCGCGUGAGUGAUGAAGGCUUUCGGGUCGUAAAACUCUGUUGUUAGGGAAGAACAAGUGCUAGUUGAAUAAGCUGGCACCUUGACGGUACCUAACCAGAAAGCCACGGCUAACUACGUGCCAGCCGCCGCCGUAA
rnacentral:rRNA from 1 species